rnacentral:rRNA from 1 species
AUGGACCACGACGCCGCCGCCGCUUCCCCGUCUGCCUCGCCCUCCUCCUCCGGUGCCUCCCCCUCGCCGCGCUCCAAGCGUCGCCGCACCGACCGCUAUGCGCUCGGCUUCGAGUUCGCUCCGCGCUCUGCGCCCUCAGCUCCGGCCCCGCGCACGACGCCUGAGUGGACGGAGGAGUCCACCUUCGCGCUCCUCGACGCCUGGGGCGAACGCUUCGCCUGCGACGGCCGCCGCAGCCUCAGCGCCGACGAGUGGCUCGAGGUCUCCCGCAUCGUAGCCGCCGCCGCCUCCCGCCCCGCGGGAUACUUCUCCGAGUCGCAGUGCCGCAACCGCAUCGACACCCUCAGGAAGAUGUUUCGGAAGGAGAAGGAGAGGUCCCGCCUGGCUGCCCACCGCUCCAGCAACCCCUCGCCCACCAAAUGGGUAUACUUCGACAAGAUGCUGUCCGUCAUGUGCCCACCGACGCCGACGCCGACGCCGCCGCCACUACUGCCGCCACUAACUCCUCUCGUGACGCGGCGCCGUGACACGCAUCCAGUGCCACGCCGUUCGUGGGGGGUGGACGUCGGGGAGCUUGUGCUCGCUGGAUGUAGCAAAGUGGUACCAGGGAAUUCAGUGCCAGAUGCGCAAUUGAGGGGAAAACAGACAUAUGAGGCUGGCGCAGUGCAGGGGGAGGAAUUUGCGAUUCUCACAGAGGCAAUUCAUAGGCUUAGGGAGGUUUAUGAGAGAGUGGAGAGUAGCAGGAGGCAGCACAUGGCGGAGUUGAAACGUAUGCGGAAGGAUAUGCAAAGGGACCUUGAGGUGAGGCGGAGAGAGAUUUUGGAAAAGGCACAAAUGGAGAUAGCGAGUCUUGAGGAGGAGGAUGCAAAGGAGGGUGCUGUUAACAAUAGAUUAGAGGAUCACAAUGGUGUUGAGGAGCAGAACAAUGGCGCUUUGGAUGCUUCUCCUUAG